UGGCCUCGGGGCGCAGCAGUGGGGAAUAUUGCACAAUGGGGGGAACCCUGAUGCAGUGACGCCGCGUGAGUGAAGAAGUAUUUCGGUAUGUAAAGCUCUAUCAGCAGGGAAGAAAAUGACGGUACCUGACUAAGAAGCCCCGGCUAACUACGUGCCAGCAGCCGCGGUAAUACGUAGGGGGCAAGCGUUAUCCGGAUUUACUGGGUGUAAAGGGAGCGUAGACGGCAGAGCAAGUCUGAAGUGACAGCCCGCGGCCCAACUGCGGGACUGCUUUGGAAACUGCCCGCCUAGCGU
rnacentral:rRNA from 1 species